CCUUUUCUCACUUUUUAACCAAGAAGGCAAGGAAGUCCGCUUUUUUACUGACUACCCAUUUCGCACCAGCAAAGAUGUCCCCUCAGGGUUUCGGGAGCAAUGGGUUUUCUGUGUAGAGUGGACCAACAGCCUUAUCAAGAGCGGAGACCGG
rnacentral:rRNA from 1 species